CUGAUCACUGUUUCUGAGCAGAUCUAGCUGCUGCAUAAGGUUCGUUUAAUCCUAGUUUCGGCGCUAUCUUUGGAGAACGCACGGUUCUCGCACUUUAGCAUUUAUUUGAGUUUUUUUUGUGAUCAGCUUAGUCUUCAACACACUUUUUAAGGAAGUGCAAGUUUGAUGAAUUUUUCGUGAAUCACUGUCGCGAUUCACGAAAAAUUCAGCCCACUCGGUAAGACUGUGUUACAUUCGUCAUAUGAUUCGUGAACUCCUACGUAUUUAAAGAACGAAUAGCUCCAAAUUAGAGUGUAAGUAGCUAAGUACGCAGCCAUUAAACCAUCAAACGCAAGAAAGAGAAUUUUGCGUCAAGAAAGCUCUCGCUGUCAAAUUGUCUUCGCCCUCGCUCACACAAUACGAUUCAACUUCCGCUUGCAAACAAGAGCCAGCAUAUCGAGCAGGAGUAGUCAGCCAUUCGCAAAAGUUGGUCGGUGCUAGGAGGACGACUCUGGUGCGGUGACAAAGUCAGCACGUGCACGCGGUGGCGGGUUUGUUUCCGACGAGGAAAUUGCAGUAUCGAGAAACCAGCAAAUUUUGGUGCAGUUUGCUGCGACCGAAAGAUCGCCCUCCAUAACUCUCUACACGUUGCCCUCUCGGAAAGAAGAAUACCGAUACAGCAGAAUACCAAGAACCGCGUCGUUGAACUUCGCGCAUCUCGUCAGGCACGCCGAAGGUAACAUCAGUGGAUUCAUGUGAUCACAACCCAUUAACCUGUAACUCACUCCCAACCACAGAGAACCUCCAGCGCACAAAUCACCUUGAUCAUCGCCCGAGGCGAAGCGAGUGGGGCGUAGAAAGUGCUCAGCAGCGCACCCAGCAACAGAAUCGUCAACCUGGUAAACUCUACCCACACUAUCCAACAUAGCGAAGGUAAAAUCAGUGUCUUCGAUCAUUACCCAUUAACCUAAGGAGCAUCUCCAAUCACAGACUCUGAGAACCUUCAUCGCACAAACCAUCUGGACCCUCGUCCGAGUCGAAGCGAGUAUCGCGCAGAGGAAUCCUGUAGCUUACCAUCACGGGGAUUGAAUCACUGGAUCUGCAGGAAGAUGCCUUCAUCAAGAAGUGAGUGUGCAAGCCGGGUGCAACUGAGACGUUCAGGAAACUAAUCGCGGGGGCGGUAGGGCUUUUUUCUCUCCCCUAGAAAACGCUCAUUCGUUCUGCCGUUGAUCGGUCUCUCCACCGUCGACGCGAGCUAUCCACCUCCCGACCCUGGAAGGAAGGUCCUAGAUUCGAGCAAGGACCCAAGAGCGGUGAUCCCAGCGAUCGACCAGCGGAAGCGCCCACCACACGGAGAGCCCUAGGGGCCCAACGCGCUCGAGGGUGUGUUUUCGGCGAGAUCGCCGCCAUUAGACGUUUCAUGCCGUUCAGUCAAGGCACCCAGCACGGUCAAGAGCGGCCGGUCAUGCACUGAGCAUGAUCAGCGGACAAGGCAAGGCAGGCAGCGACGGAGCAUCGCAAUCGUGUAAAAUACUGUAUGUACACUAGAAUUAAGAAAGUGCAAUAUUGGCAUGAAAUUAGGAGCUUUAGGGCCUAGAUAAGACGAAAUCGAAAAUAUAGGGUUGUAAGAUGAAUAUUGGUGUGUAUUAGUUGUGCCUCUAGCCCACAGUGUAUAUGGUACAGUUCCGUUGAUGCAGACUUUUGUUGAGGUUCAUUCGGAAUACGAGCAACACGUUUUUAGGUAUGUUGUUUUAAAACAACAUUGUGCUUUUAAGGGUUAAAUGAGGAUGAUUAUGGUGGCUAAAAAUGGCGAUACAACAUACAAACGUUAUUUUAUCAAAUUUCAACAAUUUUUCGGUUGUAUUAGCCCUUUUAGGUGGAUUAAUCAUCUUUUAAAAUUACCUAAGUUUUUAUUCGUCAUGGUUACAUUGUAUUUUAAGUAGGUUUACUAGAUAUGAUCAACAAAAUUAACUUAUAUUCUUAGACAGGCGAUUUCGAAUACUUUGACCCAUUCUCACCCCCUCGAAGGGGUGAAAUUGGGUCAAUUUUCAAUCAUUUGAAGAGUAUACAUACGAAAUAAAAAGUUAUUCCGACUUCUAUUGCAUUUGUUAUUUAACAAACAAUCUUUGAGUACCCUUUUUUGACCCAUUCUCACCCCUAACGACGGUAUUUCAUGUUAUUGUCCGCCUUUAUUCGAUUCUUGAAGUCAUUAUCAAGCUGAAAAAUAUUCAAAAUGCUUUCUUAUUGGGGCACACAUCUAGUACGCUACGUAACAUUCAUCAAUAAUAAUUUCUUUGUUAUUAACAUGGUUGUUCUAGCGUUAAAACAUUGUCACACAUAAUGGAAUUUACCUUCCUAUAUAAUGGUAACGUAAUUAGUGAGUGACCCCUUCUAAUUUUUGCUAAUGAUGUUUAUGAUUACUUUGGGGUGAUAAUAGUCUUGGUUUCAUAAGGAAAAUCCACACAAGAAGACGCAUUUACACAUUAUGUAAAGUGGGCGGAAAUUGGCUUCUUUAGCGGUGUUGAGAUAAUUCCAUAUUCUGAAUCUGCACGCCAAACUGAGCCGAAAUCCAAAUUUUCAUGAUUUUUGGAGCCCGAGAACCUAUUUAAAAAUCAAUUUGAAGUUUGUAUGGGAGCGAUUUGUCGAAUCACCCCUCGUCGGAUUUUGUACUGGGCGGAGCUGUCAGGUAGUUGCCCAGCUGUCAAAAGGUGAUUUGAAUAAAUCUUUUUGAAAUUGAUUUUAGGUAUCAAAACAAAGUUCUAAAAAUCUGAAAAAAAUCAUAGAGGCUUAGAAAAAAGUGCUCUUUCGUUUAAAAAUAUAAAAUUAUUAAUUUUUCCUAAAUUUAAAAACCCAAUUGGAACAUUCAUGAGCGAUAAUUGGAACACAGUGCUUUAUCGUGAGCGGCUAUUGGCACUUCUAGUGUCAACAAAAAACCUUAAGAAAAAAAAAUUUUUUUUUCAAUUUUUCACUAUUUCAUAGUUUUGCCUCAUAUUAAUAGUAGGGUAAUUUUCCAAUUGUUGAUCAGCUAAACAUUCGCCAAUUGCUGCACACCUCAUAAGAAUAACAUGGAGUGUGCAACAAUAGGCGAGUUUUUAGCCGUGCAACAAUUGGAAAAUUACCCUAAUGGAAGACAACGCAACAAAUGUCCGUAUCCAUGAUCUCCCGCCAGAUAUACCGAAUGAAGUAGUUGCAGAUUAUAUGAAACGAUAUGGCAAAGUGAAAUCUGUUGCAAGGAAACUCUGGAAGAAACAUUUUCCCGGUACCUAUACCAAAUGGCGUCCGUCUCUCUUUCUCUCUUCUAGGCGUGACGUCCUCACUGGGACAAAGCCUGCUUCUCAGCUUAGUGUUCAAUGAGCACUUCCACAGUUAUUAACUGAGAGCUUCCUCUGCCAAUGACCAUUUUGCAUGCGUAUAUCGUGUGGCAGGCACGAAGAUACUCUAUGCCCAAGGAAGUCAAGGAAAUUUCCUUUACGAAAGGAUCCUGGACCGGUUGACAGCCGCUAUUCGCAGCGUUCGGACGUACUCAGAAUUUCUUCCGUGCUUCGUAUCGGUUAAAAUGA